rnacentral:siRNA from 1 species
AUGGAUUUGCGGACCGGUCUGCAG